CUAGACAGGGGAUAUCCACAAGUAAUCUAGGUCUAAGCACCUCGCAUACACCUAUACUACAACUCUCACCUAUAGCGUCCUAUAGAUUAGAAUACUCAAAAGAGUUGUGAACCAGAGCAUACAUAAUUAGUAAUUGCAUAAUGAAUUAGAAGUAGAUUACCAGAGUCAUCCCAUGAGCAAGCUUGAUUAGAGCUUGAUCACGACGAAGUACAACCGAAGGAAGAACCGAUAGGCCGGCCUCUCCUCCAAUCCUCCCUCGCUCUCCAUCUCGCUACUAUCUAGAUCUACUCUAGUUUAGAGAAGAGAGGAGAGCUCUCAUCUCCAAACCCUAGCUUUUGCUCUGUCUAUGAAUAAUGAAUAAUGAUCAAGGGGUGCCUCCUUCAGGGGCCAGGGGGUCUGGUUAUAUAGUCCCCUCAAGUGAACCUGGGCCGUCGGAUCAAACCAACAUUGAGUGAACGGUUAUUCUUGAUCCUUUAGGUCGGUGGAGAUCUCCCGAGAGAAAGAGUCCUGAUUGGGCUCCAAGUCAGGCGGGCGCCCAGGGCAGGAGGGCGGGCGCCCUGCCUCUGGCCCCGUUCGGCCUCCGCUUCCUUCCCGUGGCUUCUGGAGUCUUCUAGAUGUAAGAUAAUUGCGCGACAUGUUAAUAUCUCUAUGUAAUCCCGACGUGUGGGCCUUUCUUCCGUAUUUCCUGAUAACCCCCUGCAGAAAUAGACAAACACCAAAACUCGUGGUAUUCUGUCAGAUAAAACCCUAAGUCUAGAUGUUGAUUUCAUUUGGAUCCUUUUCUUUGUUUAUUUGAUAAUUAAAUUUGAUACUUAAGGACCGUCAACAAACUCCCCCAAGCUUACCUCUUGCUCGUCCCUGAGCAAGGAUAGACUCAGCAAUGGAUCAGAAUUUGUUGUAAUAUCUUAAAAAUUUGACGGUACACAUGCUUUUAAAUAAGAUCUCAUCUCUAAGUUAGAGUAAACUGUCAAGAACUAAAACUUACUUACUUUACCUUUCAGCAUGGGACUUGUAACCGUCACUUCUGUCUUGAGUAGUUAAAAGAUAGAACAGUCUAGCCAAGUGCCAUGUCUCUUAUUCUUGAUCAGCUAUAGCUCUGGAGUUUUUUUUUGCAGAUUUUCAAAUAAAACUCAGAGAUUCCUUGUAUGACUCUCUAAAUCUCUCUUUUGUGAUAUUUCUGGAUCCUUACCAAGGCAGUGAUGGUAUAUGCCUUCUCUCAAGAUAUGUGGUAUAAGGCAUAGUGAUAUUGCCUUCUCUCUCACCCUACUCUAAUAUGGCUUUAAUAUCUGGAGCUCAUAGGUGGAAGAUAAAGUAUACAUACUUACAAGACAUUUAUUGUAUAGUCAAACCAUGGAUCCAAAGAAACAAAUCAAUAAGCCAAAUCAAGAUGUGCAUGUGUGGCGAAUGAAUGGUGUAUGGUGAUGAUGGUGAUAACAAUGGUGAAAGUCUAAUUCUACUUUUGCUCUUUUGACGGGAUACAUACCUUCCUUGCUUUUUGAAACUUUAUGAAGAGAAUGAGGUGCUCUUCUUCUUCUUUCCUCUCAGGUGGGUAUCUUGUACCCCUAAUUCUACUGUCAGACACUUGUCCAUUUUUACCUCUCGUCUCACUUUUUCUUUCUUUCGAGGUUCCGGGCACUUGCCCCUUUUUAUUUCCUCGUUUAUUAUUUUUUUUCUUCUCUUUUCUUUUUUUUCAGAGCACUCAUCUCUUGAGAUAAUAUAGCAAGUGGUAGUAGCAAGAUAACUUGAGCAUUUAUUUCACAAAGGAAAACAGAAAUAUUUUUGGCUAUUCUCUCCCGGAUUAGGAGUAGAAUAUUUUUGGGUGGUUCUGGAGAUGGAUAUGGAUGGUACUUUCGGAGUAGAAGUAGCAUAUAUGAGUGAACGUGCAAGUGAAUCUUGAUUUAACCACAUGACAAGCUCCUAAGGGUCUACACAGCUUGACCACACUCAAUGCUCAUAAGCAGUAAAUAGUAAAUGUGUGGCUCAAAGUCUAGCAAGCAUGUAUAUAUGUCUGUGGUAGGAAUUGAAACUCUCAUCAUACAGGAACUCAUCAUGCAAUAUUUUAAAGAUUUUUCAAAGAUAAAAUUCUCCAGAAUUCUAGCAUCUCUAGGAACAGAUAAACAGCAGCUCAACCUUCCCAUAUCAUAUCCGUUAACAACUUAGAUUUCAGAUCAAGUUUUCAUCCCACAAGUUUAGAACUAGAGCAAGUUUUAAAUUAUAACAGUUAUGUCUAAACUUGAGAGAGAACUUCAAAUUUGCAAAUUAGACAGAGCAACUAUUGAUCAUAUCCAUACUAGAGUUUUAUUAUUAAGAUUCAGAUUAGCAUAGCCACUUUAUUUAUUUAUUAAACACACUAAGCAAAAGAUAUAUAUAUAUAUAAGCACAAAAUCUUUAUUUGGUUUUUCAUAGUUUAUGUAUUUUAAUAUUCUAAUAUAAUAUAAGUAUAAAGAUAGGUAGAAUACUUAGCGAGAUAAAUGGGGGUGCUCUCCCCCAAGCUGAAUUUUCACGUAAUUUCUCUUGAUGUAGCUAGCAGGUGGCAGAGGUGUAUUUGAAAGUCAGCAGCAUUCUGACAGCGAUUAGAAUGUCCUCCGUCUGCUAGUCUUCUUGAUUCUUAAAUUCUAUGGAGCUCAAAUAGACAACAAAGCUUGUGGAACUAAUUUAGCAUAAAUAUCUAGCCUUCAUCAUGUUGAGCUUCCUAAAUAAAUAUUACUCCCUGUUUUUAUAUUUUUAUUUUAUAAAGCAAAAAAGAAAUAUUUAUUUUAUUUUUAUACCACCACAGUGAAGGUACUUAUGGGUUUUAUGCCACUCGUAUACUCACAUGGGGCUUAGUAUUUUUUAACAUUUUUAUUUUCUUUUCAAGAUAGCAUGAUUAACUAAUAAUCUAUUUAAGGAAAAUAAAUAAUUAAAGGGAAAAGGGAAUGCAGAAAGGAUAAAUAUGGAUAACUACUGAUCUUACCUUUCGGCGAGGGUUCAAUGUUUUAAGUCUUCUUAACAAGACUUCUCACCGUGUUCAUUCUUCAGGUGCGUCAUUUGAUUCAGGUGCGGACCUUGACGUUUGCACCUCUUCGUUUGCCCAGCAGUUCGAAGUGCGGCGUUGGCAGUGUCCUGCUCAGUGUGUUUGUGCUCGUAGAUCCAGGUCCUUCACUUGGUAGAGUCUGAGAGUUAUAAAACUCCUCCGUGUUUUGCUCGAAGUGUACCUGCUCAUAGAGACAAGGCAGAGAUCAAGUGCAUGGGUCCUGUUGGUGGAAAACACCAACAGAAUCUGAAGUGUUUUUGUUCUUCUCUAACCCUAAGUAUAGUGAGCAAGACAAAGUUGAUGGAUGAAAAGUUCAUGAGUGUAGCACUUAUAACAUUUGUCAGAUUAGAUCGCUCAACCUUAUGGAAAGAUAAUCUAUCUAUGUAUAUGUCUUUUUCUUUAUAUAUCUCAAUGAUUGAAUGUGUAACAUUUUAGCUUAUAUGAUUAGGAGUGUGGGAUCAUGGAGGUAGUACUA
rnacentral:lncRNA from 1 species